GUGCAUGUUUCUCUUUGUUUUAGAGUGGGAGCCCUUACCUGAUGUUUCUGCUGAUGUAUGCAUAUUUAAGAAUAUAUGGUUUCAGAUUAGAAACGAAGUUAAAAUAUGUAUUUUCACCUAUUUUUCUUAAGCUGCAUGCCUGUACUCCUUGGGGGAGAAAAAGAGACUAUUUCACAUUUAAUCCUGUACAUUACAACUGGAUGUACAGCAGCCAUAAAGGGUCACCAAAGGGGUCUUUGUUGGGACAGAAAAGGCAGCAUGUGGCUGUCCACAGGCUAAAGGAACAAUAACCCAGUCAGAGCCUGUCCAUAGCUUUUCCCUGUGCAUCAGCUGAAGUUCAAGGGAUUUCUCUGAAAGUACUAACGACACAAUCAUUUUUCUCCUGUAUUUUUUAAUAAAAGCCCAAAGGCAAAGCAGGAAGCUGUUGCUCAGUGUGACACAUAUGGGGAUCUCAAUCCAGCUGCCAGCUUCCAGAGCUACAGAGACAUUUCUAGGCAUGACGGAUUUUGAAGCCACCUUGAGUUGUCUUUGUUCCUACUAAAGAGGAGUGCAAAAACUCCCUUAUACUCACAGGGGUACUAGAUCCAGCCCAGUUCUCUGGAAAACACAGCCAGAGGAAAACAUGGUCUAUAGUAUGAAUUGUUCUAACUCUGUGCCCUGUGCAGCAUUACUGCAGGAGUGAAUGUCAGUGCAUGAGCAUGCCCUGUUUUUUCCCCUCAUCUUGGACUAGAGGCACACCUUGCCCUCCCUGGAUGUGGAAGCUCCUACCAGCUCAUCCUCAGCUUCCCUUAAAAUAGAUUCAUUUCCAUCUUUGUGAGCAGAGCCCCUGCAAGUACAUUUCUGGUGGUAUUCUCCAUGCUGGCCACCUCUCCAUGCAUCCUUCCUACCCCAGCCCAUCGGUGUUUUCUUGAGUAAAGUCCUCUGGACAACAAAGGCCAGGAUUCAGCCAGGUCUGUUUAUGAUGUGUUAAUUAUUUUGCAGCAUGAACUGCCAGACCCCCACGAGUGAGCCAGUUCUCAGGCACAGUUGGCUCCUAGAGAAAGGAUAAUUUAUAACCAUGACACUUCCAAGGUCUCUCUCUUUUUCUCUCCUUCCCCUUCAUAGUCCUUGCUCUCAUCCCAACUGGUGAACAUGGGACAGACCACCCCAGCAUUUGCAGGGGGAGGCUGCUUUUCUGGUUUCCUAGCAUAAUGCUGUCUCAUCCUGAAACUGCAUAUUUGGUGCACUUUUAUUUGAACUCAUUUGCAAAAUGACAGAUGUUUCUGAUACGAUAAGAAACGUGGCCCAGAGGCGCUGCAGAGCUGCUUGUGCUCCUCACCUGAAUCACAAAUGAGAUAAUGCUUUCUUAUCUGUUAAAAAACACGAGCAACUGCACAUAUAAAUAACACAUCACUAAGUGCCAGCUGUUUGUGCCAAUGACAUUUUUCUUAAAAGAACAGCUCCCCCCGUCAUCUGCUUUCUCUCUUGCAGGAAAUCUGGAGCUCUUUUGCAAGCACAGCAGAAAAUAUAUUUUUUUUUCUUUUUUAAGCCGCAGUUACUUUAAAAUAAUUCCAUGUGAGCAAAAAACAGCUUUUAUGACUCAGAAGAGACCAUUUUUGCCUGGAGCUGAAUAACCCCAAGAUGCACCUCUGCUGACUGUCUGCAUGAAGGGUUUGAAAUUUUUAUCCUGAAUUUAUUCUUUUGCUUUUAAUUAAAUAAAAAAAAAUUAGUGCUUUGUCCUCAAAGUCUACUGCCACACUACAGAAUUUAAAAGUCUCAGUGUUUCACACACCUCUAGCGGCAAACCCUCUUCGUUGCCAAGACAACCCUGAAGAAAUACGAAAUCCAGAACAAUACCCUGUGUACGAGGAGCCUCGUAUUCUCUGGCGCACGCGUUCGUUGUGAAUGUCAAGGGAAACGCUGCCCUACCCUCCACAGCGACCCAGAGGAACAGCACUUGGAGCAGGGGACAUUGGAUUCCACAUAGCAAUGCAUCCAUUUUGCUGUGCACCCAGUGUGAAGAUAAACCCAUUUUAGCCUGCAUUGAGUCACAGCAGCAUCCCAAAAGUAAGCAGGAGAAACGCCGACAUCUUUUGCAUCAUUUUGUUCUUUGGCUCUCUGCUCCCUCUGUUCUGUCCUUUUGUACCAGCUGCCUGUCAGGUGUUCCCAGCAGGAGACUUGGCAGUGUUACAGGUGUAUCCUGAUGAACAUGGUCUUUACGUGGCAGGGAACCCUGGGGGACUGCAGCUUCCUCUCUUCUGCUGCACUUCUAGAACCACAUUACAUUCCUCCUUUUGCAAUUGUGUGCUGGGAUACAACAACUGCAGGACUUUGGGCUCUGAAUGAUGGGUACCAAGCAGUAUGACAGGGGCACCAAGCCAGCAGAACAAACCAGUUGGUGCUGACAACUCCAUGUCUAUAUUAUUGACACUUGGGGUUUUGACCUGAGGCUAGUAUGAGUUUAGUCCUGUAGGCUGAGCUCUGAAACUGUGUGGUAUUAAGUGAAGCACAGUCAGCCAGGGAUUCACUUCAGAAGCACUUACCUGUUCCAGAAUAAGACACAGAUGUAGAUUAGCAUUUGUGGAGCAGAGGGUCAAACUAAUCAGUGCCAAAAAACAAGUGUUGCAUAUUUGAGCAUCAUAGCAAGACACUCUGAAGCAGAGCUGGUUGUGGUUUCAUGGCUCCAUCAGCAUGUCCAGAGCUUCAGCUUCCAUGUCCAUGACAAUCUCUCCCUGGCUAUGGGAGAAACCCCAGAAGCAGCAGUUCUGCACUGUGCCUCUUUUGUCCUCCUGAAGAACAAACUCUACAGUGCACCGAGAACCAUCACACCUUUAUCCUGUUAAGAGACACAGCCUGUUAGAGCUUCGGGGGAGGCAUCCCUGAGCUCAGGCCACUCUGAUCCUCUUUUAGCUCCUUAGAAACAAACUGAAAACUCCUGGCUGCUCAGGAACAAAGGAGUAUGUGAAAGAACUGCAAUUUCAUAAACUGUCGAGUGGGAGUUGGAGCUAUUAUAGAACAUCCCGUUCCAAAAGGAAACAAAUGACAGCCUGACGCUGCCGGGUAGUAGUGACGUGUGCGGCCACAGAGUGAGUCAGUCUGUGUGAGAUUCAGAUAUGGACCUAGAGGGAAAACAUUUGUGGCAGCAGGACCGAUCACAUGCUCAUAGAUGGAAUUACCUCAGCUCAUUUUUCAUGCGUGUGUUAAUGUAGUUGCUGCGCUUCUUCAGCAAAAGGCAAAUAGUACAGAGGAAAAAGUCGCGUGUAGGAGCUGCCCUGUCUCUUCUUGCAGCCUCCUGCUUCCCACCCACACUCCUGCACUGCCAGUGAUAAUGUAUCACGAGCUGUGUUUUGGUAUAUCACUGUUUCGUUCAGUAAGAUGGAAUGUGCUGCUGUUAUUUUUGUUAUUAUUUGUGUUAUUUGCUCUGAAGGAAUAGUUGAAUUAGACAAUUAAGUGAAUUAUUGUGACAUUAUUUCGUUUAUCAGUGAAGUGAUGUUUUGCUUUAAUAGCUUAGAGUGCAGCUGAAUGCUUGUAUCCAUUUAAAAAUGAAAACUGAAGCCUAAGGAUCCUUUUAAGGCCUGAGAGGAGUCUGUAGAGCUGAUUCUCUGCUACAUGGGGGAUGUGCAAUGAUGUAUAAAUUGUGAAAUGCAUUGGCUGUUUACUGGAAAAUUAUGGUGAUCUCCUGGUUGUGGUCCAAGAUAAGAAACCAUGGCCAUGGUUUAAGGAAGCUUUAGUAGCAAUUUUACCUUGAGAUGCUUCUCAGCUUUUUUCCACACU